rnacentral:rRNA from 1 species
GGAGGAUCCAAGCGUUAUCCGGAAUCAUUGGGUUUAAAGGGUCCGUAGGCGGUCCGGUAAGUCAGUGGUGAAAGCCCAUCGCUCAACGGUGGAACGGCCAUUGAUACUGCUGGACUUGAAUUACUGGGAAGCAACUAGAAUAUGUAGUGUAGCGGUGAAAUGCUUAGAGAUUACAUGGAAUACCAAUUGCGAAGGCAGGUUGCUACCAGUGGAUUGACGCUGAUGGACGAAAGCGUGGGUAGUGAACAGGAUUAGAUACCCUGGUAGUCCACGCCGUAAACGACGGAUACUAGCUGUUGGGAGCAAUCUCAGUGGCUAAGCGAAAGUGAUAAGUAUCCCACCUGGGGAGUACGUUCGCAAGAAUG